GAUGAACGCUGGCGGCGUGCUUAACACAUGCAAGUCGAACGAUGAAACCUAGCUUGCUAGGUCGAUUAGUGGCGAACGGGUGAGUAACACGUGACUAACCUGCCCCUUUCUCUGGGAUAACGCUCCGAAAGGAGUGCUAAUACCGGAUACUCACACCGAGGCACAUGCCUUGGUGUGGAAAGUUUUUCGGAAAGGGAUGGAGGCGCGGCCUAUCAGCUUGUUGGUGAGGUAACGGCUCACCAAGGCGACGACGGGUAGCCGGCCUGAGAGGGCGACCGGCCACACUGGGACGGAGACACAGCCCAGACUCGUACGGGAGGCAGCAGUGGGGAAUAUUGCACAAUGGGCGCAAGGCUGAUGCAGAGACGCCGCGUGGGGGAUGAAGGUCUUCGGAUUGUAAACCUCUUUCAGUAGGGACGAAGCGAAAGUGACGGUACCUAAAGAAGAAGCACCGGCUAACUACGUGCCAGCAGCCGCGGUAA
rnacentral:rRNA from 1 species